GACGAACGCUGGCGGCGUGCUUAACACAUGCAAGUCGAACGGAAAGGCCCUGCUUGCAGGGUACUCGAGUGGCGAACGGGUGAGUAACACGUGGGUGAUCUGCCCUGCACUUCGGGAUAAGCUUGGGAAACUGGGUCUAAUACCGGCUAGGACAGCACUUUAGUGUGUGUGGUGGAAAGUUUUUUCGGUGUAGGAUGAGCUCGCGGCCUAUCAGCUUGUUGGUGGGGUAAUGGCCUACCAAGGCGGCGACGGGUAGCCGGCCUGAGAGGGUGUACGGCCACAGUGGGACUGAGAGACGGCCCAGACUCCUACGGGAGGCAGCAGUGGGGAAUAUUGCACAAUGGGCGCAAGCCUGAUGCAGAGACGCCGCGUGGGGGAUGAAGGCCUUCGGGUUGUAAACUCCUUUCGCUAGGGACGAAGCUUUUUGUGACGGUACCUAGAUAAGAAGCACCGGCUAACUACGUG
rnacentral:rRNA from 1 species